rnacentral:rRNA from 1 species
GAUGAACGCUGGCGGCGUGCCUAAUACAUGCAAGUCGAGCGAGCAGACGAGGAGCUUGCUCCUCUGACGUUAGCGGCGGACGGGUGAGUAACACGUGGAUAACCUACCUAUAAGACUGGGAUAACUUCGGGAAACCGGAGCUAAUACCGGAUAAUAUAUUGAACCGCAUGGUUCAAUAGUGAAAGACGGUUUUGCUGUCACUUAUAGAUGGAUCCGCGCCGCAUUAGCUAGUUGGUAAGGUAACGGCUUACCAAGGCAACGAUGCGUAGCCGACCUGAGAGGGUGAUCGGCCACACUGGAACUGAGACACGGUCCAGACUCCUACGGGAGGCAGCAGUAGGGAAUCUUCCGCAACGGGCGAAAGCCUGACGGAGCAACGCCGCGUGAGUGAUGAAGGUCUUCGGAUCGUAAAACUCUGUUAUUAGGGAAGAACAAAUGUGUAAGUAACUAUGCACGUCUUGACGGUACCUAAUCAGAAAGCCACGGCUAACUACGUG